GACGAACGCUGGCGGCGUGCUUAACACAUGCAAGUCGAACGGAAAGGCCCUGCUUGCAGGGUACUCGAGUGGCGAACGGGUGAGUAACACGUGGGUGAUCUGCCCUGCACUUCGGGAUAAGCCUGGGAAACUGGGUCUAAUACCGGAUAGGAGCCAUUUUUAGUGUGAUGGUUGGAAAGUUUUUUCGGUAUAGGAUGAGCUCGCGGCCUAUCAGCUUGUUGGUGGGGUAAUGGCCUACCAAGGCGGCGACGGGUAGCCGGCCUGAGAGGGUGGACGGCCACAUUGGGACUGAGAUACGGCCCAGACUCCUACGGGAGGCAGCAGUGGGGAAUAUUGCACAAUGGGCGCAAGCCUGAUGCAGCGACGCCGCGGGGGGGAUGACGGCCUUCGGGUUGUAAACUCCUUUCGCUAGGGACGAAGCUUUUUGUGACGGUACCUAGAGAAGAAGCACCGGCCAACUACGUG
rnacentral:rRNA from 1 species